rnacentral:rRNA from 1 species
CUAGCAUAUCAAUAAGCGGAGGAAAAGAAACCAACAGGGAUUACCUCAGUAACGGCGAGUGAAGCGGUAACAGCUCAAAUUUGAAAUCUGGGCCCCUCGGGCCCCGAGUUGUAAUUUGGAGAAGAUGCUUCGGGUGCGGCGCCGGUCUAAGUUCCUUGGAACAGGACGUCACAGAGGGUGAGAAUCCCGUACGUGAUCGGCCGCCUGUGCCCGUGUGAAGCUCUUUCGACGAGUCGAGUUGUUUGGGAAUGCAGCUCAAAAUGGGUGGUAUAUUUCAUCUAAAGCUAAAUAUUGGCCAGAGACCGAUAGCGCACAAGUAGAGUGAUCGAAAGAUGAAAAGCACUUUGGAAAGAGAGUUAAACAGUACGUGAAAUUGUUGAAAGGGAAGCGCUUGCGACCAGACUUGCGCAGGGCCGAUCAUCCGGGGUUCUCCCCGGUGCACUCGGCCCCGCGCAGGCCAGCAUCGGUUCCGGUGGCUGGACAAAGGCCUUGGGAAUGUAGCUUCUCUCGGGGAGUGUUAUAGCCCUCGGCGCAAUGCAGCCUACCGGGACCGAGGACCGCGCUUCGGCUAGGAUGCUGGCGUAAUGGUCGCAAGCGACCCGUCUUGAAACACGGACCAAGGAGUCUAACAUCUAUGCGAGUGUUUGGGUGCCAAACCCAUCCGCGUAAUUAACGUGAACGGAGGUGAGAGCCCUGAAGGGUGCAUCACCGACCGGUCCUGAUGUCUUCGGAUGGAUCUGAGUAAGAGCAUAGCUGUUGGGACCCGAAAGAUGGUGAACUAUGCCUGAAUAGGGUGAAGCCAGAGGAAACUCUGGUGGAGGCUCGCAGCGGUUCUGACGUGCAAAUCGAUCGUCAAAUUUGGGUAUAGGGGCGAAAGACUAAUCGAACCAU